AGAUUGAACGCUGGCGGCAUGCCUUACACAUGCAAGUCGAACGGCAGCACGGGAGCAAUCCUGGUGGCGAGUGGCGAACGGGUGAGUAAUACAUCGGAACGUGCCCAAUCGUGGGGGAUAACGCAGCGAAAGCUGUGCUAAUACCGCAUAAGAUCUACGGAUGAAAGCAGGGGAUCGCAAGACCUUGCGCGAAUGGAGCGGCCGAUGGCAGAUUAGGUAGUUGGUGAGGUAAAGGCUCACCAAGCCUUCGAUCUGUAGCUGGUCUGAGAGGACGACCAGCCACACUGGGACUGAGACACGGCCCAGACUCCUACGGGAGGCAGCAGUGGGGAAUUUUGGACAAUGGGCGAAAGCCUGAUCCAGCCAUGCCGCGUGCAGGAUGAAGGCCUUCGGUUGUAACUGUCGUUUUGUACGUAACGAAAGUCUCUUUAUAAUAAGAGGAUCAUAGACGUACGUAAGAAUAAGACACGACUAACUACG
rnacentral:rRNA from 1 species